rnacentral:tRNA from 1 species
GGUUCCGUAGCUCAAUGGAUAGAGCACUUGGCUUCGAACCAAGGGGUUGGAGGUUCGAGCCCUUCCGGGACCGCCA